rnacentral:pre_miRNA from 1 species
AUCACCUGGGGGUCUUGUUAAAAUGCAGAUUCUGAUUUAGUGAGCCUGGGGUGGGGCUUGAGAUUUUGCAUUUCUAACUAGCUCUCAGGUAGUGCUGU